UACGGGGGGAGCAAGCGUUGUUCGGAUUUACUGGGCGUAAAGGGCGCGUAGGCGGUCAGCACAAGUCAGUUGUGAAAUCUCCGGGCUUAACUCGGAAAGGUCAACUGAUACUGUGCGACUAGAGUGCAGAAGGGGCAACUGGAAUUCUCGGUGUAGCGGUGAAAUGCGUAGAUAUCGAGAGGAACACCUGCGGCGAAGGCGGGUUGCUGGGCUGACAUUGACGCUGAUGCGCGAAAGCCAGGGGAGCGAACGGG
rnacentral:rRNA from 1 species